UAUAUCUAUAUAUUAGCAUCUUUCCUUGUUGGAUUUAGAGAUUCUUAGCUCACCGUUCCUUGUUGGAUUUGGAGGCUCUUAGUCUCAUCUUUGUGUGUGUGUGUGUGAGAGAGAGAGAGAGAAUGGGACCAGGAGGACCUGGGCCUGGACCAGGGCCUGGAGGGCCGCCCGGUUUCGGGCCAGGGCCUGGUGGUCCGGGUGGUGGUUUUGAUGGACCGUGUGGCUGCUUAUCUUCAUGCUUGUACUUCUUGUGUUGCUGCGGGUUGCUCCGGGAUUGUUGUGGCCCAUUAUUUGGUGGGCCCCCAGGACCACCUGGGCCUGCAUUUUGACGGCCUCUAUCAAACCAUUUGAUGUGAUCAGAUGUAUGAUAAAUAUUGCAGUUGGAUGUGUCAUGUGUGUGCUUCACAACAAUAAAGGAGUGCUUAGUGCUCACUUUUCUUGUAUAAACCUUUUUUUUAUUUCGAAUUAUUUAUGUAAUAAUUUUGGAUUUGGCAUCGAAUCAACUGGUCUGUAACAUCUAAUGGAGCACAAAUUCUCAAACAGCUUACGCAAUAUCUUAUAAAUCAA